rnacentral:rRNA from 1 species
GACGAACGCUGGCGGCGUGCUUAACACAUGCAAGUCGAACGGUGAAGCGCCUUCCUUUUUGGUGGGUGUGGAUGAGUGGCGAGCGGGUGAGUAACACGUGAGUAACCUGCCCCCUUCUUCUGGAUAACCGCAUGAAAGUGUGGCUAAUACGGGAUAUUCUGGGUCUGUCGCAUGAUGGGUCUGGGAAAGAUAUUGUUUCGGUGGGGGAUGGGCUCGCGGCCUAUCAGCUUGUUGGUGGGGUGAUGGCCUACCAAGGCGGUGACGGGUAGCCGGCCUGAGAGGGUGGACGGUCACACUGGGACUGAGACACGGCCCAGACUCCUACGGGAGGCAGCAGUGGGGAAUAUUGCACAAUGGGCGCAAGCCUGAUGCAGCGACGCCGCGUGAGGGAUGGAGGCCUUCGGGUUGUGAACCUCUUUCGCCAGUGAAGCAGGCCUGCCUCGUUUGUGGGUGGGUUGACGGUAGCUGGAUAAGAAGCGCCGGCUAACUACGUG